CCCGCAACGAGCGCAACCCCUGCAUCCAGUUGCCAUCGGGCGAGCCGGGCACUCUGGAGGGACUGCCGGCGACAAGCCGGAGGAAGGUGGGGAUGACGUCAAGUCAUCAUGGCCCUUAUGUCCAGGGCGACACACGUGCUACAAUGGCCGGCACAGCGGGAAGCGGAGGGGCGACCCUGAGCGGAUCCCUUGAAAGCCGGUCCCAGUUCGGAUUGCAGUCUGCAACUCGACUGCAUGAAGUUGGAAUCGCUAGUAAUCGCGGAUCAGCCAAGCCGCGGUGAAUACGUUCCCGGGCCUU
rnacentral:rRNA from 1 species